rnacentral:rRNA from 1 species
ACCUGCCUUAUAGUGGGGGAUAGCCUUUCGAAAGGAAGAUUAAUACCGCAUAAGAUUGUAGUAUCGCAUGAUAUAGCAAUUAAAGGAGCAAUCCGCUAUAAGAUGGACCCCGCGUCGCAUUAGCUAGUUGGUGAGGUAAUGGCUCACCAAGGCGACGAUGCGUAGCCGACCUGAGAGGGUGAUCGGCCACAUUGGGACUGAGACACGGCCCAGACUCCUACGGGAGGCAGCAUG